CUGCCCAGUGGAUUUUUCACACCCCGGAGAGAUGUAGACAUCAGACAAAUACUGUACUGUGGGAUUUCUUUGCUGACCAUACAGUUACUACACGGAAAAGAAAAUCAACCAAGGAAUGUGGAGUUUCCAAAUGUAGCUGCGGCAGCACUUUGAAGUGUGAGUGUGGUCGCAGUGCCAGCGCUGCACUUACUCCACC